rnacentral:rRNA from 1 species
AACGAACGCUGGCGGCAUGCCUAACACAUGCAAGUCGAACGAGACCUUCGGGUCUAGUUGCGCACGGGUGCGUCACGCGUGGGAACCUGCCCUUAGGUUCGGAAUAACUCCCCGAAAGGGGUGCUAAUACCGGAUAAUGUCUUCGGACCAAAGAUUUAUCGACUUUGGAUGGGCCCGCGUUGGAUUAGCUAGUUGGUAGGGUAAAAGACUACCAAGGCGACGAUCCAUAGCUGGUCUGAGAGGAUGAUCAGCCACACUGGGAAUGGGACACGGCCCAGACUCCUGCGGGAGGCAGCAGUGGGGAAUAUUGGACAAUGGGCGAAAGCCUAAGCCAGCAAUGCCGCGUGAGUGAUGAAGGCCUUAGGGUUGUAAAGCUCUUUUAACCGGGAUGAUAAUGACAGUACCGGGAGAAUAAGCGCCGGCUAACUCCGUG